AAUCAAUAUAUCACAUAAUAUCCCUAUAUACUGACCAACUAACAAAUAAGCUUAGGUAGGACACACUAGCGAAGGAUUUACUCGUCUCUCCCCUCCUAGUUCUAUUCCCCGAUCUCCGCCAGAGAUCAUAUCCCUAAGCUCUGAUACCAACUGUGACGCCCCCAAAAUAGGUAUACAUCACCCAUUCUGAGUUGUCAAUACAUGGUACAGAAACAACUACAACUUUAUUAUUACAACAGUAAAACUGUGAGUUUGAAUACAAAUAUUAUCUUCUAGACAAUAUCUAUACUCAAAUAAAUCCUCAUCACAUUUAUUGAUACAUUAUUUUACAAAAAUGGUGAGGACUACUAAACAACUCUCUCUAGAACCUUCAUUCCAUACCCCGACUCGUACUCGCUAUAUUCUCGCCUCCUGAGAAGAAAAAUGGAACAAAAAGGAAAAGGGUGAGCUCAACUAGCCCAGUAAAGAAUAUUAUGACUAAGAUAAUAUACAACAAAUUAUCGUUAGUCUUCAACAGAGAAAAAUCUAAUAGAAUACAAUAGACAACAAGUUUUAAAUCAAUAUUCGCAGCGGAAAUAAUAAUUCAUUAGAAGAGUUAAGUAGAGAAUGCAAACUACUAUCUUCUAUAUAUGAAUUUAAAAGUUCAUCGUCUAUCUUUUAUCCCUGUAACAUCAAUCAAUAUAUAUCUGGAAUCAAAUAUUCAUCUUUGCUCUACAGGCCAAAGAUAUUCAUCAGUUGGUCAUGUUCAUCUAAACACCUGUUCAUCUUUGCACUACGGGCCAAAGAUAUUCAUCAGAAAUCAUUCAUCUUUACACUACAGGCCAAAGAUAUUCAGUUAUAUCAUCAUUUAGGACUGAGGAUGAUGAAAAAUAUUUUAAAGAAAACGAAUCUAGUGAAACAAAAGAAUAAAUAUUAAGGAUUCGUAUUUCAACUAUUCCAUGUCCAAAAAUACCUCAUAAAUAAUCAUAGUGGAGUAAAAUUCAAGAAUGAUCAAAAUAUGGAUACAAUCAAAGCUAGUAUCCAGAAUAUAUAUUUUGGACAAAAAGAAGAAAAUUUCAUUUUUCGGUGAAUAGUGCCUGUUGGGUCAUGAUAUUUCCCCUCUUUGGGCCGAGUAAGUUGGGCUCACUUGUUUAAUUAAUCUAUUGGGCCAUCAUUAUUGAACCUUGAAAGUCACUGGGCCUAGUCUCCAUAUUAUUUCUAUUUAAACCUAUAAGACCGGGUCGGUUCAUAGGACUAACCUAUUGGAUCAUUUAAUAUCUAUUACUUUGACUUGUAAUGAUGAAAAAGCAUAACAGUUGACUAAGACACCUGCCAUGUAUUAAUGUGGAUGAGAUUAUAGCCGGCCGACGGCAUAAACAGUGACCAAAGGUAGUGAGUAGACUGCAGACGGGCGGCAGGACCCAUCAGAUCACGGGGGCUGUAUCAGAGGUAGUGGGUGGCACGGUAAACCGGGCAAAGAGAGUAUAAGCUAUCAACUAAGUCUAAACAAAUAGGUACGUUCUAAUACACGUUCACAUUCAUAUUCAUACACACAACUGAGAAUUAUUAUCUCUCUCAAUACACUAGACAUUACAUCCUCCAUUGCUAACCUUGUGAACAUGUAUACUUACUCUCACGCCUGAGCUAUCCCCCGGCGGUCCGGCCGUCAAGCUUGUGGUGUUUAUCGUGUUUACUGUGCAGGAUCAGGGCGUCUUACGUGAUUGGGACGUUGGAGAAGAUCCUGGCGUUAACAUUUGGCGCUAGAAGGAGGGCUGAGUUCUAGUGUCCUGAGUAUUUUUCAAUCACAAACUGUGUUUGUUCUACGUCAGUAUUCAUGGUGAAGAGUAGAACACCUACACCCGAUGGGCAGCCUAUGGCUGUCAGUGAAUCAGUACCACGAGUGUCUGUCAAGGAUCGUUUGGGACCUGCAAUAAGUGUUCAUGCCAGCACAACGUCCAAACGAUCACAUGAAGAUUCUCGGCCGAGGGCUGUGGGCAACGUUAAACGAAAGCUAGUUUUCACGGCGGAGAAAGGGUCUGGCCAUGGUUGAAAACGAGUAGAAGGCACCUCAUCUAGAACUCGAUAUCGAGAUGACCAAGACAAAAAGGCCUCACGACUGGCUAAGAUGGCAGAUGAAGCAGAUAGGGCCAUGGAGGUAUUUGUGAAGCAGCGACAGGAUAUAGCUGAGCAGAUGGCUCGAAUGGCGGAGUUGAGGGAUGAAGAGUUCAGUUAUGUUCAGUCCGAAGAGCGAGGGCAUCGGAGUGGGAACGAACCUGCCUAUUCAGGACGUGAGUCUCGAGGCCAACCUCGAGAAAGAAGAAGAUCCCGAAGCCCUACUCCUCAAGGAUCGAAGAGGGCACAUCACCCUGUCGAUUCUAAGGAGCAGGGUCGAAACGAACAAAGAGGUCGAUCCAGAGAUCGCACUCCUGAGAAUACAAAGAAAACACUUGUUGUGGCACAUUCUCGCCAUAGUGCCCGAGUUCAGAGACGAAGUAUAUCUAGAGGUCAUACUCCCGAGAGUCUACUGAGGGUACACCACCCUGUGGACGCUCGUCAUCGGAAAAGUCCCUCUAAAGUUGGAGGUUCUAUUGUAAGAAACCGGUCCACUCAGAAGAGGAAGGAGUCACCGGAAAAAGAAGCAUCAUCUCAACCAGAAGGUGUGGAGUAUCUGGUUAAAGAAUUAAAGGAACUUCGGAAGCAGCUUGCCGAAGUAAAGAAAACAAAAGAUACUUCGGGAAAGAAGGCAUCUCCUUUUUUCGCGGAGAUUCUAAAAGAGAAGGCUGACCCCACAAAGAAGUUGCCCCACAUUGAAAGUUAUGAUGGAUCGGGGGAUCCCUACGACCACAGUCAGGCGUUCGACCGACUGAUGGAUUAUUAUGACUUUAGCGAUGCUGCUAAGUGUCAUACUUUUGUCACGACGCUCAGAAAGGACGCCCGACAGUGGAUGGGGACUUUUCCCUCGGAUUCAAUUUCAUCUUGGGCAGACAUGUGCAUUAAAUUUCAUGCUCUCUUCGGGAGUAACAAAAGAAGGGGAAAACCAACUGGUUCGUUGGCUCAAGUUCGACAGUAUUCGAAUGAGUCUUUGGGCCAAUAUGUGAAGCGGUUUCGUGAAGUAGUCGGCCAAGUGGCAGACCUGAACGAUCUACAAGCUGUGGGACUAUUUCAGAAUGGGUUAGAUUUGGUCAAAUCAGAAAAGUUGGUGAAGAAAUUAAUAUUUAACCACCCGAAGAGUCUCGCUGAAGCCUUCGACAAAGCUGAAGGCUAUAUCGUGGUGGAGGAAGCCAUGAACAGCCUCAAACGUCCUUCUUUAGACCGGCUUAAGGAGACAGAUUGGGACAAAACCGAUGGGGACCAGAAGAAGAAUGAAGGGAAUAAAGACCGCUAUGAAGGCGGGUCGAAGAGAUACAACAAUUGGAGAUAGGGUGGAGGACGUUCGUCCGCUCCAACCCAGAGAGUAAAUAAGACAUACACAACACUUAACACCGAUAGGGCUGUUAUCUUGGAUCAAAUUAAAGAUCAACCUAUCUUCGAGCCACCACGAGAUAACAUUAAGCCCAGAAAAGGGAAUCCUCGUAAGUAUUGUGAUUACAAUCAAGCCUCAGGUCACGAUACGAACGACUGUGCUAGUUUGAAAGAUUUCAUUAAAAGAAAGGUACAAGGCGGGGCUUUAGUUUAGUAUGUGGCUGCCAGAACUAAUCAACAGCAGGAUAGAGGACCUGUUUCGGCAGCUCAACCAGUUCAGCAAGAGUUGCCAGCUCCGGGACAUCCUGCAAGGCAUGUGAUAGAUGUCAUCACUGGGGGUACUUCUGGCAAGCUUAUUGGGAAGAAGCGCCGAAGUUACUUGGAUUCAGUCAUGUCAGUGGCGGGUACCCUCCCGAAGACUGAUAGACCUUAUCCGAGUACGGUAAUCUCCUUUACUGAUGAAGAUUACCCUUCGGAAGUCAUCGAACCGCAUGAGGGAUCAUUGGUGCUGACUGCGCAAGUGGGUUCGGUGGAUAUGAAGCGAAUGAUGGUAGAUAAUGGGUCUUCUGUAGAUAUUCUGUAUGCCCACGCUUAUCAAAGGAUGCAUCUAGACGGGCGAAAGAUGGAGAUAGGGCAGGAGGCUCCUUUGUACGGUUUUAGUAAUGAUCCGGUCAAGGUGGCUGGAACUAUUGAGCUACCGGUCAUCUUCGGAACGGCCCCUCAACAGGUAGAAAUUAUUUGCAAAUUUUAUGUUGUGCAUGUAGAUUCUGCUUAUAAUGCUAUUUUGGGGAGGCCUACUUUAAUUGCUUUACAAGCUGUAACAUCAAUCCUUCAUUUCAAAAUUAAAUUUCCUACGGCUCAUGGGGUUGGUGAGGUGAAAGGAGAUUUGGAUCUGGCCAGAAGAUGUUAUAGAAAUGCUGUGAUCACUUAGGGAGUGGGGGUAUCGAAACAAAAGCAGACCAUGGCGAUAGAGAUUGAACCCUUCACUGAGAGUAGUUCCGAACCAUUGGUCAUGCCAGCUGAAGAAACAGAGGAAAUAGAGCUCAUCCCGGGCAAGGUGAACAAGACGGUGAAAAUAGGUUCGGGUCUGCCGGAACCUCUCCGGACGAACCUCAUGGAGCUCCUGCGAUGCUAUGUUAAUAUCUUCGCAUGGGAACCUUAGGAUAUGCCGGGAGUAAGCAGGGAUAUUGCUGAACAUCGGUUGGAAGUGGAUCCGUCAAAGAAACCAGUUCGACAGAAGAGGAGGAUCUUUGCACCUGAACGACAGCGGAUCAUCGAUGAAGAGAUCGCAAAACUGUUGGCAGCUGACUUCAUUUUUGAGAUCGACUACCCGCAGUGGAUGGAAAAUGUGGUGUUGGUCCAGAAACAGAACGGUAAAUGGUGAGUCUGCAUCGACUAUACCGAUCUGAACAAAGCUUGUCCAAAGGAUUUCUACCCGCUGCCCCACAUCGAUCAGCUCAUUGAUGCCACUUCGGGGUACGCUUUGUUGAGCUUCAUGGAUGCAUUCUCUGGAUAUCAUCAGAUUUCCAUGUGUAAAGAGGAUAUACCGUAGACGGCGUUCAUUACGCAUCGUUCGGUAUAUGCCUAUAAGAAAAUGACCUUCGGCCUCAUCAAUGCCGGGGCCACAUACCAGAGGAUGAUGAACUACGUCUUCAGAUACCAGUUGGGUAAGAAUAUGGAGGUGUACUUGGAUGACAUGAUUGUUAAAAGCAUGCUGGUACGCAAACAUCUGGAUGAUUUAGAAGAAUGCUUUCAGACAAUUCGCCAUCACAACUUGAGACUAAAUCCCACUAAGUGCACCUUCGGUCUAGGGGCUGGCAAGUUUCUGGGUUAUCUUGUCAGUCAAAGAGGAAUUGAAGCCAAUCCAGAGAAGAUUCGAGCGAUCCUGAGCAUGAAGACUCCUCAGUCAUUUAAAGAUGUUCAACGUCUGACUGGAAGGAUUGCAGCUUUAAGGAGGUUCAUGUCCAAGUCGGCAGAAAGAUGUUUGCCGUUUUUUGAUACGUUGAAAGGGCCGAAGAAUGCAAAGACGUUCCAAUGGACUUCGGAGUGUGAGGACGCCUUUCAAAGCAUCAAGUCCUACCUAUCUUCGGCGCCUUUGUUGGUGAAACCCGUUCCUGCUGAGCCUCUAUAUUUGUACUUAGCAGCUAGUUCGUUGGCAGUAGGAGCAGUUUUGGUGCGUGAAGUUGGGGGUAAGCAGCACCCGGUUUAUUAUGUAAGCCAUGUCCUUCGGGAUGCUAAAACAAGGUACCCAAACAUUGAAAAGUUUGCUUUUGCUUUAAUAACUGCUAGUCGAAAGCUUAGGCAAUACUUUCAGGGUAGAUUGGUAAUAGUAUACAUAGAUCAGCCUUUGAAGAAGAUUAUGAGCAGACCUGAGAUAUCGGGGAGAUUAGCUGCAUGGACGAUGGAGCUGUCCCAUUUUUUCAUUGAAUAUCAUCCCCGAACCACCAUCCAAGGGGAAGCCUUGGCUGAUUUUGUAGUUGAAUGCUCGUUUUCUGAAGCUGAUGAAGUUGUGAUAGAAGCUGAAGGAUCUGACAGAGCAGUUGCAGUUCUUCAGCAGAAGCAGAGUUCGUGGACGUUGUAUGCAGAUGGGUCUUCUACUACGGACAUCAGUGGAGCAGGGAUUAUUCUGACGAGUCCGGAGGGAUUCAAGGUGCAACAGGCCAUCAGAUUUCAGUUCAAAGCAACAAACAACGAAGCUGAGUAUGAGGCGGUACUCGCAGGGUUAUGACUAGCGAAGAGUCUUGAAGUGUAGAUAAUAGUCAUCUUCAGUGAUUCUCAGUUAGUUGUUAAGCAACUCUCUGGGGAGUACGAAGCUCGAGGCCCAAGAAUGAUCAAGUAUUUGGCAGAAUUGAAAGAACGGCUUCAGUAUUUCCAAUCCUACGAGUUUCAGGGGGUUGAGCGUAAUAAUAAUUCCAUUGCUGAUGCACUCUCCAAACUAGCAACUACGGAUGUUAACGUCUUUGAUGGGUCGGUUUACUUAGAAAUUUUGCAACAUCCUAGUGUUCAUCAUGAAUCGGUGAUGUGCGUUGACCGAACCAACUGCUGGUUGACUCCAUAUCUGGAGUAUCUGGCAGAGGGCGUCUUACCUUCGGAUCGGAUGCUAGCCAAGAGAAUCAAAUACAAAAGUGCUAAUUUUGUUCUGAUUGAUGGGGAUCUGUUCCGAAGGGCUUUCUCGUCUCCACUACUGAAAUGUUUGACUCCAUCUGAAGCUGAAUAUGCUCUACGAGAGGUACAUGAGGGCAUCUGUGGCGACCAUAUGGCUGCUAAGUCAUUAGCCUACAAAGUACUUCGUCAGGGGUAUUACUGGCCUACCAUCUUCAAGGAAGCGACUGAGUACGUCAAGAAGUGCGAGAAGUGUCAACUCAACAGUCCAAUACCACAUCAGCCACCAGAAGAGACCACCUUUCAUUAAUAUUUAAUUUGAUUACAAAAUAACAUAAAUUUUCAUAAAUAUUCUUAAAUAAAAUCCAGGAAAGACGAGUAUUCACUUCAUGCAUCAUCCUCGCCAUCUGAAGAGUCAAGCAAAGUUGGGUCCACGUUAGUUGUAAUCAACUUCUCCUUGCCACGACUCCGGCAGAGCUCAUAGCUUUCAGAAUAUAUCUUCAUGAUCUCUCCGUUGAUCUCAUCCGAGUUCCUAUACUCUUCACAGAUCUGUUUGCGAAGGUCAUCGGUUAGAGGAGGCCCAAGGUCCCGAAGAGCCUUGAGCUCUCGGAUUUCUUCUUCCAGCUUCUGACGCUUAUUCAGAUGACGAGUCUCUGCUAGCUCUAGUUUUUGGAUGGUUUUAGUCAAGAUCUUAGCAUCAGCCUUUAGCUCUUUGAUCUUCUCCAUCCUUAUUUCGCUCCUCUGAACCAAAUCAACAUUCAUCUUGACGAUCUCCUUAUACUGUGCUUUAGUUGACUUCAGUUCUUCAUUGGAUGUCUUCGCAUCUCCUUUGGCUUGGGCCAACUCUUUCCGAAGACCCUCAUUCGUGUGAAGAACGCUCUCACGUUGAGUCCUUUCCCGAGCCAGAGCAGACUUCAGGAUGGCAUUCUCCUUCCUCAUUGCCUCUUCUUCGGAUUCAGCUUCGAUAGACUUUGGACGCAGACGCCCGAAUACAGCAUUGGCAUACAUAUGUUCAAUCUUGUUUGAUCAUUAUCAAAUGUAUAAGUAUGAAAAUAAAUACAGAAAUUAAGGAGAGAACCAUUUACCUUCGCCAGGUAGCUCAUGCCUUCGCUAAGCAAAUCCCCAUUCGAACUGUUCCCGAAUCGAUGGUCAUCGGUUUCACGGACGAAGGCGUCAAAUAGUUGAAAAGGAAAGUUGGCAUUAAAUCGAGGCCACAUGGUUGGAGAGGCCAUAGCGUCAUGCUGAAAUUCAGAGGUUGAUUGUCUUGGAGGAGAGGGCAUGGAUUGAUUAUGAAUUGGCGAGGGAUCCACAUGUAUAUUUUUCGGAGAGGGAGAUUGAACAGGAUUAGGUUCGUGGACUAGUGAGGGAGCCGAGGAUGAACCUGGAUGGCUACCUGAUGGAUGUUUCCUCUUUCGAGAUAAGAUGGGGACAGAUCCGACCAGUUCAUCAUCAGGCACUUGAAUUUCAGUUGGGACUAUUGGGGGAAUGUCAGCCGAAGACGAUGGAAUUCAGAGCUCAUCGGCAGUCAAAGGGGUAAUCUUUGACCUUAUCUUCUUAGCACGAAGGACCUUCGCCCGAUCGUGUAGAGGUAUAUCAAGUAGGCUUCUCUUAACUGGGGCAGAUUUGGAAGGUGCAGAACUAGGGUUGGAUGAAGGGGUUGUUUGUGGAAUUGCUUCGGGAAUUGUUUCUGGAUCACUUUCAGGAUUUGUUUCCGGCUGGGUGGAUUUGGAUUUCUUGGCGGCUCUUUUCCUUCGGCGAGGUCUGAGGGAUUCUUCGGGAACGAUGGGUUCAUCAAUUUGGGGUUCGUCAUUCCGAGGAGAAACAAUUGGUGGAUCGGUGACGGGGGGAUCAGCUCGGGAAGAUUCUUCAGUCGAAGGCUCUUCACUCGCAUCCGUAAUCUUCCCUGCCAAAAAGUCUUCCAAUUCUUUUACUUCCGAAGAAGUUGGUUUGAUCAGAGACACUGCAAAUAACCAUGUAUCAGAACCCAUAUCAAUUAAAUAUCUCAAAAAACUGUGCUACAAAGUUAUUCAAAACUUACAUUUAUGGUCAUAUAGCCAGGCUUGCUUAGUCAGAAGUGCAAAACUCCAUUCCUUCGGAGGAAUCUUCUUCAAAAAAUCUGCCAUUUCCUUCACACGCUCUUCGGGGAUAUCUCCAAAGUCAGCAGAGAUCCGAUCAGAGAUAGUCCAAUCUGGAAGAGAAGAGAUUUCGGGUCCCGUAACAAAAAACCAUUUUUGGUGCCAACCCUUGUUGCUUGAAGGGGUAUCCAUCAGGGAUCUCUUAUCAAAUCUGGGGUUGGGUCGAGGAGACUGUUUGCUCAACAUUUUGAAACCUCGUUCUCGGGACCUACCGGCUGAGAAGAGGGUGAAGAAAAUGUCGACAAAGGGAGGAAUCCCUAGUUCGUGACAGAAGGCAACGAAUGCCAGGAUGUGGAUGUAGGAAUUAGGCACCAACUGGACAAAACCCACUCCUAUAAACUCUAGGAGGGUAACGACGACGGCAUGAAGGGGUAGAGGAAUCCCCUUUUCAAGAAAAGUAACUGGCAUAGCGACCCAACCAUCCGGUCGAUGGUACAUGCGUUCUUCAGGAGCGGGAGCCCUUAUAGCGUACAUAUCCGGAAUCUUAUAGCGAGCUCGGAGGAUACGUAUCUCAGAUUCCGUAACAGUGGAGGGGAUAUUGGUAUGAGGAAACUGUUCCCCAUCCUUAAAGAAGUCGGAAGGAGGCAGAGAAGAGAUCAGGGGCGGAUUCUUCCCUAUGGUUGUUGUGGAUUGGGGAUUUGAACUCGAACUCUCUUGGUUAGGGUUUGGGUUGGGGGAAACGGUGCUAACGGGAGUCACGCGAAGAGGAGAAUUUUGGUUAGAGUUCACAAUCACCAUUGUUGAGAUUUCGUAAAACAGAGAAGGAAGUUCUAGGAAGGAGAAGAAAGCUCAAAGGUUCAAAGUUCAAAUUGGCAGGUAAAACCGUCAAAAUUGGUAAAAUUUGUCUUUUAUACUGACGGUUACAUGGUGUACGAGGCCGACACAUUAAAUGUUAGUAAUAAUGAGAAUUCGAAUGGGAAGCGUCCGGAUCAAUCCUUAGAUAUUUUAUCAGACUGGGCCUCUCGGUUGGAUUUUUGGUUUUUAGACCAUCUUUCUCAAUCUCAAUCCUCUAUUGACUGGGCCUUUUACUCUGGACAUUCAGCCAUUCCCUGUCUCAUCUUAUGGACCAAAUUGGGUAUGUCUCAAUUACCUCAUGUUAUGGGCCUUUAGUAAAUUCUAAUAUCAUGGACCAUUUAUAGUUUUCUAUUAAACAUUCUGUUCAACAAAAAACUAGGGGGCAAUGUUGGGUCAUGAUAUUUCCCCUCUUUGGGCCAAGUAAGUUGGGCUCACUUGUUUAAUUAAUCUAUUGGGCCAUCAUUAUUGAACCUUGAAAGUCACUGGGCCUAGUCUCCAUAUUAUUUCUAUUUAAACCUAUAAGACCGUGUCGGUUCAUGGGACUAACACAUUGGAUCAUUAAAUAUCUAUUUCUUUGACUUGUAAUGAUGAAAAAGCAUGACAAUUGACUAAGACACCUGCCAUGCAUUAAUGUGGAUGCGAUUAUAGCCGGCCAGCGGCAUAAACAGUGACCAAAGGUAGUGAGUAGAAUGCAGGCGGGCGGCAGGACCCAUCAGAUCACGGUGGCUGUGUCAGAGGUAGUGGGUGGCACGAUAAAUCGGGCAAAGAGAGUAUAAGCUAUCAACUAAGUCUACACAAACAGGUACGUUCUGAUACACGUUCACAUUCAUAUUCAUACACACAACUGAGAAUUAUUAUCUCUCUCAAUACACUAGACAUUACAUCCUCCAUUGCUAACCUUGUGAACAUGUAAACUUACUCUCACGCCUGAGCUAUCCCCCGACGGUCCGGCCGUCAAGCUUGUGGUGUUUAUCGUGUUUACUGUGCAGGAUCAGGGCGUCUUACAUGAUUGGGACGUUGGAGAAGAUCCUGGCGUUAACAGUGCCGUAUUUGUGAAUAGUGACGUAUACGUGAAUAGUGUCGUAUACGUGAAUAGUAACUCCGAUACUAAAAGAUAAAAAUUUCACAAAAAAGAUCAUCAUGCUUCGUGAAUAGUAACUCAUGAAUAGUAACUCAUGAAUAGUAAUUCCGACAUGAAAAAGUUCCAAAUUUGAUAAAAAGUUCUAACCAAUAUUUCGGCAUAAUGAUAUUGAAGAAAUAAUAUCAUUUGAGAAGAAAAUAACAUCCCUUACCUUGUAAAGACAGUACUUCUAGUUGAAACACCGAAUAUAAGCUAUGACUUGAACUUACACCGUAUAACAACACUCAAAGUAUUAAAAUACUCACAAAAUACGCUUAAUAUAUAGAGAGAGAAAGAGAGAGAAAUAUGCAGUUUCUGGUGUGAUUUUCAAUUCUAACCUAAGCACCCUAUUUAUAGGAAAAUGCUUAGAACACCAAAGUAGAAAAUUUAAUAAAAUAUUAAUAUAUAUAUUAAAAUUUUCUACGCACUCAUACCAACUGAUUUCCAACUCCUAACACAUGCCUACAAAUAACAAAAACGUUUUUCUAACUAAAAAUAAUUAAAACUUCCAAAAUUAAUUAUUUCGAAACUAUGGAAUUUCAAUAAUUCAUAAUAAAUAGCCCUUUAAUCAUAAAAUUCAAAUCUCGCGACUUUUUAUAGGAAAUUCAAUUCUCUACAACUUUGCAGAAGAAAGUUUUUCCAAAUUUCAAACAAAAAUUGACCGAAAUCCACAUACGGAUGAUUUUACAGGCUAUAAUCAAAUUUCAGUCAAGAAAUGGGCCCACAGACAUGUUUAACAUGUUUUAAACAACUUUUACAAUAAAAAUACUUUCUCCUCAUAUACUCAUAUAUUCCACAUUCAUUGUAAAAAUAUCAUCAUUAUUAUAUUAUAAUAAUAUAAUAAAAUAUUAUUUUAUCAAGAAAGAUAAAAUAUCGAUUUUCAACAAUUGUCACUUUAAAAAUUUUCUCCAUCUAUAUCCACAUAAAAUCAAUAUUUUCCUCAUCAUAUAAAUCAAUAAUUAAUUAUUCACAAAUAAUAUUACAGAAUCACAAUAUUGACAACCAGGCAGUUCCCAGGAAAGAGGGGGCUUUCCAAUAAGAAUUUCUCCUUACUGGCGCGCAAUUAGGUGACCAAACCUCUCCUUAGACAGAACUUUCUAGACAUUGCCAAUAAUGUUAUCUAAUAAUAUUAUUCAGAUAAUAUGAAUUAUUGCUUCGAUAAUGGAAAAUACUGUGUAGUGACAAUUAUUGAAACAACAGUAAUAUAAAAUAUCAACGCAGCAAUUAUUGAAUCAAUAAAAUAAAAUACUGAACAGUAACUACUGUAACAAUUAUUGAGUAGUGCCUUCUUACGUAAGAAUCAAUAAUUGGUGCAAUACCGUGUGCUACUGUGCAACAACGCGUAUUACUGUGUUUUAACCACCGGAUAUUCCAACAGUGUUAACGGUAACAACUACACCGUUAUUUAUAAACAACUUAUACUUGUCGUUUUCUUCAUCCAAUCGUUUUCCGUUAUGGGGCCCACAAAAGACUGCGCCGUCGUACAAAUAUUCCCCGACAGCAAGAAUAUUCCACGACCAAACGAAUAUUUCCCGACAACAAUGAAUAUUUUAUAACCACCUGCUUAUUUAAAAUAUUUGCGCAUUUUACCCAUAAGUAACCACAUUAAUCAAAUCAACCCUUAUUAUUUCAAAAUAAUAAAUAGAGAAAAUUAAAUUUUAUUCAUUAAUAAUUUGGGGUCUUACAAAAUAAAAGAGGGACAAAAUAGAUACUAUUAAUAAUCUAUCUAAUAAAAAAUAAAUGAUUUUGAAUUUUCUGCUCACUCAAUAAAUCAUAUGGGCCGUUCAAAGUUUGAGAUAAAUUCUACCCUCCAUACAGUGCCGGAGACACGGGACCUAACUAGUCUAUCUAAUAAAAUACAAAUGAUUUUAAAUUUUUUGCUCACUCAAUAAAUCAUUUUGAUCGUCUAAAAUUUGAGAUAAAUUCUACCGUCUAUAUAGAAUCGAAAUCACAGGUAUAUACAUAUUUCACAAAGGCAAUGAUGUUGAUAUUUGUUGAAGAGUAAAACGGUGGUUCGGUUAAAUCCUCAAGGUACUCUUAAAUCUCUCAAGUAUUUAUCUGUCCCUACAUAAAGAACAGCUAACUGAACAGUAAACUUUUAAUUCUAUUUUGAACUAGCUAGUAAGGCCUAUUUUAUUACAAGUAGACUUAGGGACUGUUUGAUUUCAGUUGAGUGGUUUAGUUAUUCAGUGUAUUUAUUUUGAAAAAAAAUUAUUGAAUGACUGAAUUGGUAAGUCAUUCAGAUAAUUUUGAGCUGAUUGAUUCAGUUCAAUUUUUUUGACAGAAUGAGCGACUGAAUGAACUUUUUUUUUUUACAAUAUUAACUAUUAUAUUAAGUAAUAUUAACUAAAUUUACAGCAAUUCUUUGAAUUUUUUUAGAGGGGGAAAAUAAUAAAAAUAUGUUAUUCAAAUAUUUCAGACAUGUCAAUUAUCAAAUAAUUUUUUUCAUUCAAAUUCAGAUUCAGAUCAGAUUCAUUCAGUUUUUAUCAAACAAUCGCUUAGAAGUUGAGGGAUCCGGUUAGCAUGAAGUUAUUUUUUUAGUAAGUUGGUCAAUUGGCUAAUAGAAUACUGAUACACAUACCAUCUCGUCCGUGUGUCAGUAUUUUAUUGAUCGAUUGAUUAAUUUAUCCCAAAAUAAAUUUCAUACUAACCACUUCCGAAGUUGAGUAUGUUUUAUCCUAAUAAGCAUUCUGUUUUUUCACUUAAAUAGUAAAUUAUAGAAAAGAAAAAGAAAAAGACAAAAAAUAUAACACUGAGCAGUACAUGAUAGGUUCGGGUUCACAUUCCAAUAGAGCACCAGUUACUUUUUGUCCCGAGAAGGUCUCUUCCAGUGAACUUCUUCUCUAUUUUCUGAAAUACUUUUUUCCCCUCAACCCACGAAGGAAUAUUUGCUUUUGUAGCUUAAAAAAAAAUAAAAUUCCAUUUACUCUUGAGUACUAAAUUCAGCAAUAAAUAGUACUCACAUAUUUUAAUUUAUCAAUUCUUUUACCAGAAGCCCACCAAGGCACCAAGAAAGCAUAUUUGUGUGCAUUGAGAGAGAGAGAGAGAGAAGUGCAAAUUUUAAUUUUGUCAAAAAAAGAGAAAUUCACGUAUCGCACAAUUAAUUAUCUAAAAUUUGUAUUUAAAAUAACUUCAUAAAUCAUAAAUAAUGACCGACUAUUAUUACUUGAUGAUAAAUAUUCAUGAUAUCAGGUGGAAAUUCUCUUCUCUUAAUUCCUACUUUCCUCUUUUUGGGCCGGGUUAGCUAUUUUGGCAACAAACAACCUACAAUUGAAAGAUCCAAUUCAUGGUCUUUUUUUUGGGUAAUUAAACAUAAAAGAUUAAAAUUGACAAGGGGUAUAUUAUAUAUAGCUAGAUAAACAAAUACAAUGAACCUGCAGAAUGAAUGAAUGAAUGCAGUCCACAACAAAGAAACAAAGUCCAGACACCAUUUCUUGUUUCAAGGACGUCCAUAUAUAUAAUUUUAGAUGGUAGUAGUAGAUAUAUAUAUGCUCCCCUGCAUCCCUGUGCUGAUAUUUUAUGUCCCCUAGCUACCAGUACAUGCAUGCAUGUUUGGCUUGUUUUUUUAGCUUUACCUUUCCUUUUCCUUAGCAGUUGAGUUAACCAAUAAUUCUCAGUAAUUAUGUAAUUAAUGCAUGUGUUAAUCCGGGUUUUUGUAGUAAUGGUUACGUGAGUGCAUGUGUGCAAGUUCUAAAGAACUUGAUUGUUAGGGAGUGAUCGAACUUAUAGUUACCAUUUUAGCAACUGAUGCAUUACAAAAAAAUUUGUGCCCUUUUUUUUCUUCAAAUUAAAAAUUGAACAUAUAUAUUAGAAUACAUAAACCUAAUUAAGCUCGAAUACAAAAAAGGCUUUGAAAAUAUCAUUUCUAUUUUCACAUAAUUGUUAAUUUGUGAAAGUAUAUAUAUAUAUAUCAAUCGGAAGUAGUUAGCAUGAAGUUCAUUUUUGGAUAAAUUGGUCAAUUAGCCAAAUAAAGUACUGACACGCAGACAGAGACUCAAUGUGUGUCACUAUUCUACUUGCCGAUUCAUAUCAAUCUAUCAAGUUGUAGUAUCUUAGCUAGGGUUGUAGUCCUUGUAGAGAGGAGAUGAUUGCCUUGAAAAUAAAAAUAGAAAUGGUUGGAUAUCACCAAAGAAAAAACUGUAGAUGGGUACGGUUGAUGCAAUCAGUAGACUAAGCAAAUAUGCACAAGCCAGAAAAAACAAGACAUAAUGAUGAAGAGAAAUGCCCUAACCGACUGACAAAUGACAACCUUCAUAUGCACUACUAGAAUGAAUAGAGUUAGCAUGAAGUUUAUUUUUAAGUAAGUUGAUUAAUUGGACAGUAAAAUAUAUUAAAAUACAUAUUAAACUUUACAUGCGUGUUUAUACUUUAUUAAUCAAUUGACUAACUUACCCAAAAAUAAAUUUGAUACUAACUACUUUCUACUAGUAUAUGUAUAUGUAUUAGUCCAACUCAUGCCUGGCAACAAGCCCGGCCGGCUAUUAGUAAUACUAGGAAACUCAAAUAACAUGUAGGAGUAAUAUUUUUAUUAUUAACAUUUAACAAUAUAUUAUAUUAUAUGUGUUAUGAAUUUAUAUUAAAUUAAUUUAAAUAAGUGGAGUACAUAAUUACAAAUAUACAAAAUACUAAUUUGAAAAUCCAAUCCCAUUAAGGUCGGGAUCGGCGAGCCGGCCGAGUUGGGGAAAAUUUCCAGGCCAGCCCUACUUACUGGCAGUAUUAAUUCCAUGGGUAGCCGUAAGUCCCAUCGCCGACUAGGCACACUGCACUAUAUUUACAAACAUAAUUACUUGACUACGCCUUUAUUACAUCAUCCAAUCCCUAUUCCAAUCACACCAUUCCCAUUCCCAUUCCCAUUCCCCUCCAUCGCAUUACACUUCAGUCUCAACUAAUUUCAGGUUACUUUAUAAUAACAAUAAUUUUUUUAUAAUUUUACGAUAUUUUUUCUAGACCUCAAUUAUUAUUUAUGUAAUGAUAAAUUUGUAGAAUUAUCAAAUUUAGUUAUGAAAAUAUCAAUUCUCUAAUAUUUAUUCCUCAAACAUUAAAAAUUAACUAAUACUCCCUCCGUCCCAAAUUAAUUGUUCAAUUUUAACUUUUUAAAGUCAAAUUGACCAUUUUUAAAACUAAUCUUUUUACUAUUUUUGCUAAAAUAUAGUUGAAGAGAUUAUAACCAAAAGAAAAUAUAUACAAUUUAUUACUAAUCCUAAUUUUUAUAAUUUUAGAAAUAUAUUUAUAUAUGCUUAAUUAUUAAUUCUAAAAAUAGUAAAUUUGACUUAAAAAAGUCAAAACUGAGUAAUUAAUUUGGGACGGAGGGAGUAUUAUACUCCUUCCAUUCCUAUAUGUAGGUCAUUUUAGACUCUCUUUUUUAUUCUUAAUUAUUUGUCGUUUGUGGUUAUCUAGGAGAAUUAAUUACUAUUUUUCCCAAAUUGCCCUUUAUUACUCCACCUAAUCUUUUGAUCCAUAUUUAUGAGAUAAAUGAGGUGAAGGGUAUUAUAGACAAUUGAUACUAUAAUUAAUGCUUUUCAAUCAUUUUCUUAAUUCUUGUGCACAUGUCUAAAACGACCUAUAUUAAGAAACGGAGGGAGUAAUAUUUAUUUCAUUUAAUUAAGAUUAUGUUCCUAAUCAAAUUGCACAAUUUUAUCACAUUUUCAUUAUACAAUAAUACAUUAUGGUUCUAAUUAUAAUAUGCACACAAUAUAUAAAAUCAAUAAUCAUCAUUAUUUAUCAAGAAAUGGAAAAGAUAAUUUAUGCAACUUCCCUUGGCUUUUGCGAGCAAAUAAAAGUAUUUAGAAAACUUUAUGGUUGAUCUCAUCAAGCUAGCAUCGAGGACAUUAUAGAAAGUAGCAUACGGUUCAUAAGGAAAUUUAAUUAUAAAAAAUAAUAAUUCAUUCUGCUAUGUUUUUCAUUGAUAAUAAGCUAGGUUUAUACCAAUAAGUUUAUUACUUUAGAUAUAUAUUUAAUUAUAAAUAAUAUUGGUAAUAACUUAAUUUAUUACAUAUGGAGGAAUUCUGUGAUUAAUUUUAUGUUUGGAUGGAAAGUGGUUAGCAUGAAAUUUAUUUUUUGAUAAAUUGGUCAAUUGACCAAUAGAAUGCUGACACUUCUAUAUUUGUCAGUAUUUUAUUAAACAAUUAAUUAAUUUAUCAAAAAUUAAACUUCAUGCUAACCGGAUCCGUUUGAAUGUAAUGUUAGAAAAAGUAGUAAGUUUGUUUAGGUCAUAGAUUCGCUCAUAGGAAUCUACUUAACUCAAUGAGUACUCCUACUUAGUUUAAAAGGAAGGACCAACCGACCGACCGACCGACCUAAGAUUUAGGUAUAUGUCAUGUUAAUUACAACUACUCGGUUGAAACUUGAAAUGAUUCAUGUAAAGGAAACGAUUACUUAUAAAGAGAGAGUGAUACCAUGCACCCAGACAGACAGACCAAAUAAAUUAAUAAUAAAUACCCCCGACAUUGUUUCGUCGGCCGAGGAGAGGACUGAGGAGGACUCUUAAGAUUUGCUUGUACGUCUCUCUUUCAAUUUCAAGUUACUACUUCAAGUUCUUGCUUGAAUCGUGUGAAUCUCUCUCACUCAUGGCGACGCCACACUCUAAAUUGAAAAAUGGAGAUUUGCAUGUCAGUUACACAAUUUAAACUCCUCCUUUUACUCUCAUCUUCUUUAAUCAUGUUUUCACUUCAUUUUCUCUCUCUCAUAAAAUAAAAUUAACAAAACUGUAAAUUUAAGGAGUUUUAUUAUCUUCAUGAUGUGUUCACUCAUUAUUAAAAUGCCACUCUUACCAAACCUAUGAUUAUUAUUAUUAGGAAACUGAUAUUUACUUAAAUUUUUUUAAUGUUUUUGUAUGUGGAGUCUAUUUUUUAAUCAAAUCAAUAUUAAUAUUUAAUUUAAAAAUGAGUUUUAUAUGCAAAAAUAUCAAAAAAUGUUGCGGUAUUAUUAUUAUUAUUAUUGAGCUCAAAGAAGUGAUUUACAAUAAUUGAAAACCUCUCGUUGAGCUAAUGGUUGCCUUUUGGUUAAAAUCAUUUAAAUUUAGUCCAAGAUCUGAAGGAAAAAAAAAAUCACUGUCCAAAUUUAUUACUUCAUCCGUACCCAAACAAUGACCCAAGGUAAAAAUGUUUUUUUUUUAAAACAAUGAGAUAAAAUAUAUAAAGUGAAGGAUAAUCAAGUCAAUUAGUAGAGUCUAAUAUAAAAAAUAAAAGUAGUAAUUUUGUGGAGUCGUUAAAGAUAAAUUUGAAUUCUUUUUAUUAUCUUUUCUCUAUUUAUAUAUUUUUUUUAAUAUGUAUACAAAUUAUAUUUUGUUCAUCUUUAAAUUAAAUAAAUAAAUAAAUAAAUAAAACUUAUUCAAACGAGCUUGUUUUACCAAUACAAUGAUUUAGUGGAGCAGAGAACAUUGGGGUCCAUAUAAGAACCUUGAAACAGGCCUUUGAAGAGUUGAUAUACGUUGUAGUUUAGAAGGUCCAGAGUCAAACUAUAGGUGCUAUAUUGGUCAAUAGAUUGGGCUAAGAUUGAAAUUACCUUCUAAUACUUGUUAGUGGGGUAGUAAUAUUGUAGGAGGGACACUUGGGGUUGAAUAAAAUAGGCCUUUAUAGUUUAUAAUGUUCAAGGCGUGGGACAUGGGUUAAGUUCUAUUUCUUACUCUCUUUUUUCUGUAAUUAAUUUUCACUUUCACUCAACUCAGUAAUUUAAAUUUGGAAUUAAGCAAUACAAGUAUAUAUUUUGGUAAAGUUUUAUGUUUCUAAUAAUGAGAAGUUGAGAACCAUAUCAAGAAAUCCUUUUAUUUCCCCUUUUGCCAUACCCAACCCAAUGAUGAAACCUCAUGUAUAAUGAAUUAAAAUAAUUUGUUUGUGAAAAAUAAAGGAAGAAGAAUAUGUAAAAUAACACAAAAUAAUCAUGCAUGGAUCAUGUACACUUAAUAUUUCUGGAGCUGACUAGUCCCCACCACAAUAUUCAUGUUGGUAUGGUGGAUAUGAUUUGUUGUUCUUAAACACCUUAAUAAAAAGCUGCUAUGACAGAAAUGAGAAGGAUAUAUAUAUAUAUAUAUAGCAAAAACAACAAGGGAUGUGGAGAGCUGGAUGCUUUGUCGUUGUCUCUGGAGAUGACUAUCGUCUUUUUAAUUGGCAGCUAUUUCUUCGUCAUAAGGCCGAUUGGUGCUAGGGGGAAGGCCUUGUGUUUUUUCAGUCUCUUGCUCCUCAAUUAACUGAAACAGAAUGAUCAGGUGGUUCUACAAUAAUCAUAACAUUUGAACAAUAUUUUCAAAACAUUUAAUACAGGGGAAAUUAGGGAGCAGAAUCCCAAAAGAUACAAAUUAAAUUUCCCUUGUCAAACCAACAACGGAUUUAGAUCCUAAAAAUAAAAAAAAUUCUAGCCGAACAAGAUUUUAUUUCUUCAUUAGCAUGAACGUGAGAUCCACUCUGAAUGUGGAUUCGAACUUUGGAGUGACAAUAUAUACACGUACGCUAUACAUAUCACUUGCAUGUCAAGUUCUUGAGUUGCUUCUUCUUGACAAAAACAUCCAUGUUGCAAUUCAUGUUGGUGGAUCUGUUAUUUUUCAAUAGCUUCAAUAUUGUGAUCCUUCCUCUCAAUUUAGAUUGCAUGCUUAUCGGCAAAAUCCCCGAACCCAAAUCCUGGACGAAUGCCAACGAAUUCGUCGGUAUAUUUGUUGAUGUCAACUUCACAUUUAUACUAAUCUUCCUUGUGGAGCGUGCUCGAGCUCGUGCCCCUCGAACAAACGCCCUCCCUAUCUUUACGUCCCAAUAAUAGAAGUACACAGUAGUGUUUUCAUAUUUGUAGUGACCAAAAUUUGUGUUUUUGACACUAAAUUCAGCUUUCAAUGUAACAACGAACGAAGGGUUUGUCGUGUUGCCAACACUUAAGGUGUUGAGAUUUGCUGACCAGACGCGGAAUUUUGGAGUUCUGAAUUUUAGGAUUGUGAGUGCAAACACCAAAAUUAAACCCGUCUCUAACGCAGUAAGUGCAACAAUGUACAAGUAAAAUUUGAGGCGGUUUUUGAGUUUAGAGCGCCGUUGUGAUGCGGCCGCGGCCGCGGCUUCGGCUUCUUUGUCUCGUCCGGUAUGACAACUUGUACAAGCUAAUGGAUGUACCGGCUCCUCCUCCUCCGCCUCCUUAUCUGCCAUCAAAUAUUGAUUUUUGAUAGUGUGUGGAUACAGAGCUAACUAGGGAGAUUGAAUUCAUACAUGAGUAUUAUAGGGCAUUAUGAUCGUAUAUGUAGUAGUAUCUUACUUUGGUAUAAAUAUGUAAUUCGUUUAAUGUGUGUUUGGCAAAACUUUUAUUUUUCUGAUUUCUUUCACUAAACAAGAGGGUUACUUUUGAGUCCAAAUUUGUGGGCUGGGCUAAUAGUUGGAUUUUCUUAAAGUGAAUGAUGAGCCUUAUAUCUCAAUAAUUCAGUGUAUCGUGGAAGAGAUUCUAGUCCUCCAGAAGAUCUCAUUUUUCAAAGGUUUUUUUUUUUGGCAUUUUAUUGUUUGUGGUUGUUGCUUUCAAGUCUUGUACACCUAAUAUUAUAAUUUCAUUUAUUUUUGAAACCAUCUCCUUUUUUUCUCUUGCACUUAUAACCUUUUAUUCACUAGAAGUCCAUGAUGUUACGUUUGGAUUGAAAUAAUAAAUGUGGAAAUGAAAUGAUUCAGUAAAAAAUUGUGUUUGAUUGCGAUUGAAAUGGAUUGAAUAUUUUUUUUUGUUGCUAUUUUCGACUGAAAUUUAACAUUCUUGCCCAAGAUUUCACGGUCAAAGUGUUAUGAGUAGUUUUUUUAUCAUUGAGCCAUAAGGGUCUUGGGAAGGAGAGUAUGAAAUAACUCAUUCUAACUAGAAUGGAAUGAAUCAUUCCAAUAUUCAUUCCAUUCCUUCAAUCCAAACGCAGCAUUAAUUAAAUCACUUCAAUAAUACACAAUGAAUCUUGGAGAUUUUGCAAGAUAUCUCUAUAAUACCCAGAAAAAAAUAAUAAUAAAAAAAAAUAAAAUAAAUAAAUAAACAAUAUUCAACUCUUUUUUAAAAUAUUCUAAUUGGAAUUAGCCUACCAAGAAUCAAAAGGAGAUACUUUUCUUUCUUUUUAUUUUUCUGUAUAUAAUAUAGAGUUUUAUCAUUCUAGUUUCAUAAUUUAGAAUCUAGAAUACAUAUGCUAUGUAUGUCUCAUUGUUGCAGAUAAAUUGGCCAAGAUUGGUCCUGAUUGCAAUAGUAUAGGACAUAACAAUGAACAAUUGCACGUAAAAAGAAAAAAAAUACCUUUGGCUCUAUUUUCCUCUGGGUUAGAUGAGGCACUACCAUACUAGGCAAUAAUCAUAGGCACCACAUGUAAAUUGAGACUUUCUUUAUAGAAUAAUACUCUCUCCGUCCCAUAAUUAUAGGCUAAUUUUUUAUUUUAAGAUGUCCCAAUAUAUAGACUACUUAUUAUUUAUAAAAUUUAGUUGAUUCAUUGUUUUACUUUUAUGCCCUUAUAAUAAAUAUUCAACAAUUACUCUUUUUUUGAAGAAACAACAUUCAAUGUCAUUAUUUUUAUCACUACAUUUAAUGUUGUUAUAUUCUCUUUGGUUAAAGUUUAUAGAUUUUAAUGGUCAGUACACGUUAAUCAAUGAAGUUGAGAGUUCCAGUGUGAUAAGUAAGGAGUAAUUAUCUUAUUCAUUAAUUCUAUAUUAAGGGGUGGAAAAUUUAUGUUAAAAAUUGUCACUUAACUGAUUUUCUUAAACUAUGUGCCAAAAGAAAUCAGCCUAUAACUAUGGGACGGAGGAAGUAAUAAUAAAAUCCCGAGGUUAAGAUGAGAAUAGGCUUCAUAUGGUCCAGCAUGUUAACUAAUUGACGAAUAACUUAUUUUGGUGUAAUUCAUUUUUUUUAUACAACCAAAUAUUAUAAAAAUAGAUGUUUACAUGAUAUUGAAUAGAUUAUUUAGUUACAACUUAAUGUAAAAUAAUAAUAAUUAAAGAAAAAUAAUAUUUUUAUAAUAUCACUUAGAAAUGUAUUAUUUUGGUGAUUAGUUCAGACGAAGAGAGUCUAAACGAGUUGAAUUUAGAAUAUAAAUUUUUGGAUAUUACAUUGUUUAAUUUAAGUACGGAUUUCAUAUUCUUUCAGCAAUAAUCUUUUUAAUUUUGAUUUGUUCGUUUUGCUUUUCGUGUAGAAUUUAGUUAUUGUUUUACCUGAUUGUUCUUUCUCAAAUUAGUGUAAAUGUUUCGUUUUGGCGUCGAUACUUGGAACUCGUAUUUCUACUCUUUAGACUAAUGCAUCAUGUAUAUAAUUUUAUUUGAUGUUCGUAGUAAUAUACAUGUUAAUAUAUUUUUGGAGACUUUGUAUUGAAGAUUUGCUUCCGUUUAACAUGUAUAUAUUAGAACAUCUUUUAUGUUGAUAUUGUGCCGCAUGUGUUGUGACAUGUUAUUUUGUUAAAAUGUACCGUAGAGUAUACCUGAGUUAUAACCACCUGUGGGGGUAUCACAUGCAUGUUCUCUUGGCACUGAGGCAUGACACCUUCUGUGGCGGUGUGACUAGUCCACGACGCCUCAGUUUCAUGAUCCGGUGGGAGUUGACCAUUUGGUUAUUUGUUGUGGGAGACGUAUGGGUCGACCCUAAGUUUUUGUUUUGUUUUGUUCUGUGAAUUGGUAAUGUUUGUGUCUAACACGCCUUUCGAUUUUACAUGCAUUUGGAUCGCGUUCCAAUGUGUGUGACUUGCGUGUGUGACAAUGUAUAUUUCUGUUUUGUUUUGAGCUAGGUAUGAAAUAACACACAAUCAUUUGAUUCAACUUAUUAUUUCGUUGCGUAACUUUUGUUCAUUUCAAUUCAAUUCAAUUCAUUUAAUUGAGUUAAUUAUUUCGUUUCAUUAUUAUUGUAUUCUAUAUCCGUAUUGAACAUUUGACUCAUGUUGUAUUUUUCUUAUAAGAGGUAAUCAGGGGAUAAAGGUCAAGUGUGAUGAGAGCUUCCUUUUUUUAAUGGUUUAAAUAUUCUGUUUAGGCUAUGAUAUAUUAGUUUGUUUGGAGUUAUAAUGUGGUUUGAGCCGGUUUGACCUUUAUUAUAAUUUGUUGUGUGAUAUUUAAUGAUUAUGAAUACUAGUAUUUUUUUGUGACUUGGAGUUUUAUCAUAAAUUCAGCAGUUAUAUUGUGUUUUGUAUAACCUGUCUUACUAUAUCGAAAAUGAAACGUUAGAAUUUCGCUCUCUUAAAAUAUUUACUGUGACGCCCCCAAAAUAGGUUUACAUCACCCAUUCUGAGUUGUCAAUACAUGGUACAGAAACAACUACAACUUUAUUAUUACAACAGUAAAACUGUGAGUUUGAAUACAAAUAUUAU
rnacentral:lncRNA from 1 species